ACGUUCCUACGGGGGGCAGCAGUGGGGAAUAUUGCGCAAUGGGCGAAAGCCUGACGCAGCGACGCCGCGUGAGGGAUGAAGGUCUUCGGAUCGUAAACCUCUGUCAGGAGGGAAGAAGUGGUUAUAUGCGAAUAGUGUAUGACUUUGACGGUACCUCCAAAGGAAGCACCGGCUAACUCCGUGCCAGCAGCCGCGGUAGAACGGAGGGUGCGAGCGUUAAUCGGAAUCAC
rnacentral:rRNA from 1 species